AGUGAACGCUGGCGGUAGGCCUAACACAUGCAAGUCGAACGGCAGCACAGUAAGAGCUUGCUCUUACGGGUGGCGAGUGGCGGACGGGUGAGGAAUACAUCGGCUUCUUCUUUUUCGUGGGUGAUUACGUAGGGAAACUUACGCUAAUACCUCAUAUAAUCUACGGCUUAAUGCAGGAGAUCUUCAGACCUUUCGCGUCUGUAUGAGCUGAUGUCGGAUUAGCUAGUUGGCGGGGUAAAGGCCCACCAAGGCGACGAUCCGUAGCUGGUCUGAGAGGAUGAUCAGCCACACUGGAACUGAGACACGGUCCAGACUCCUACGGGAGGCAGCAGUGGGGAAUAUUGGACAAUGGGCGCAAGCCUGAUCCAGCCAUACCGCGUGGGUGAAGAAGGCCUUCGGGUUGUAAAGCCCUUUUGUUGGGAAAGAAAAGAAGCAGGUUAAUACCCCGCUGUUCUGACGGUACCCAAAGAAUAAGCACCGGCUAACUACGUG
rnacentral:rRNA from 1 species